rnacentral:rRNA from 1 species
CCUACGGGAGGCGCAGUGGGGAAUUUUGGACAAUGGGCGCAAGCCUGAUCCAGCAAUGCCGCGUGAGUGAAGAAGGCCUUCGGGUUGUAAAGCUCUUUUGUCAGGGAAGAAACGGCUGAGGCUAAUAUCCUCGGCUAAUGACGGUACCUGAAGAAUAAGCACCGGCUAACUACGUGCCAGCAGCCGCGGUAAUACGUAGGGUGCAAGCGUUAAUCGGAAUUACUGGGCGUAAAGCGUGCGCAGGCGGUUUUGUAAGUCUGUCGUGAAAGCCCCGGGCUUAACCUGGGAAUUGCGAUGGAGACUGCAAGGCUUGAAUCUGGCAGAGGGGGGUAGAAUUCCACGUGUAGCAGUGAAAUGCGUAGAGAUGUGGAGGAACACCGAUGGCGAAGGCAGCCCCCUGGGUCAAGAUUGACGCUCAUGCACGAAAGCGUGGGGAGCAAACAGGAUUAGAUACCCUGGUAGUCCACGCCCUAAACGAUGUCUACUAGUUGUCGGGUCUUAAUUGACUUGGUAACGCAGCUAACGCGUGAAGUAGACCGCCUGGGGAUACGGUCGCAAGNUUAAAACGUCAAAGGAUUGACGGCUGAGAGNGCGAGACGACGACGAGGAGAGG